UCCUAGUUAACCUAGGCAGUCUCACUAGAGUCCCCAUCCGAAAUGUUGGCAACUAAUGAUAAGGGUUGCGCUCGUUGCGGGACUUAACCCAACACCUCACGGCACGAGCUGACGACAGCCAUGCAGCACCUAUGCAGCGGUCCUUGCGGACGUUAUCAUCUCUGAUAACUUCCCCUGCACUUCUAACCUGGGUAAGGUUCUUCGCGUUGCAUCGAAUUAAACCACAUGCUCCACUGCUUGUGCGGGCCCCCGUCAAUUCUUUUGAGUUUCACCCUUGCGAGCGUACUCCUCAGGCGGUAUACUUAACGCGUUAGCUCCGACACAGCCGGGGUUGAGCCCAGCUACACCAAGUAUACAUCGUUUACGGCAAGGACUAC
rnacentral:misc_RNA from 1 species